UACGUAGGGGCCGAGCGUUGUCCGGAGUUACUGGGCGUAAGCGCGCGCAGGCGGCCGCCCGCGCCCGCCGUGAAAGCCCCGGCUCAACCGGGGAGGGUCGGCGGGGACGGGCGGCUUGAGGACGGCAGGGCCGGUGGAAUCCCGGUGUAGUGGUGAAAUGCGUAGAGAGUCGGGGGAACACCCGUGGCGAAGGCGGCCGGCUGGGCCGUUCCUGACGCUGAGGCGCGAAGGCGUGGGGAGCGAACAGG
rnacentral:rRNA from 1 species